rnacentral:rRNA from 1 species
CUAUCCGCGUGCAGGACGAAGGCCCUCGGGUUGUAAACUGCUUUUGUACGGAACGAAAAGCCUAGGGCUAAUACCUCUGGGUCAUGACGGUACCGUAAGAAGAAGCACCGGCUAACUCCGUGCCAGCAGCCGCGGUAAUACGGAGGGUGCAAGCGUUAAUCGGAAUUACUGGGCGUAAAGCGUGCGUAGGCGGCUCGCUAAGUCAGAUGUGAAAGCCCCGGGCUCAACCUGGGAACGGCAUUUGAAACUGGCAAGCUAGAGUUUAGGAGAGGAGAGUGGAAUUUCAGGUGUAGCGGUGAAAUGCGUAGAGAUCUGAAGGAACACCAGUGGCGAAGGCGACUCUCUGGCCUAAAACUGACGCUGAGGUACGAAAGCGUGGGUAGCAAACAGGAUUAGAUACCCUGGUAGUCCACGCCGUAAACGAUGUUAACUAGCCGUUGGCUCUCUUAGAGAGUUAGUGGCGCAGCUAACGCAUUAAGUUGACCGCCUGGGGAGUACGGCCGCAAGGUUAAAACUCAAAUGAAUUGACGGGGGCCCGCACCAGCGGUGGGGCA